rnacentral:rRNA from 1 species
UACAGAGGUCUCGAGCGUUAGGCGGAAUCACUGGGCUUAAAGCGUGUGUAGGUGGAUCGUUAAGUACCUUGUGAAAUCCCCACGGCUUAACCGUGGAGCUGCUUGGUAUACUGGCGGUCUUGAGCCAGCUAGGGGCUACCGGAACAAAUGGUGGAGCGGUGAAAUGCGCAGAUAUCAGGAGGAACACCGGUGGCGAAGGCGGGUCUCUGGGCCGAUGACUGACGCUGGAGGAGCGAAAGCGUGGGAGCGAACAGG